GGCCGCCUGGCGAAAUGGCAUCGCGUCUGACUACGAUAACCAAGGAAUCAGGAGAUUGCAGGUUCGACCCCUGCGGUGGUCA